AUGAACGCUAGCGACAGGCUUAACACAUGCAAGUCGAGGGGCAGCACAGGUAGCAAUACCGGGUGGCGACCGGCGCACGGGUGAGUAACGCGUAUGCAACUUACCUAUCAGAGGGGGAUAACCCGGCGAAAGUCGGACUAAUACCGCAUGAAGCAGGGGCCCCGCAUGGGGAUAUUUGCUAAAGAUUCAUCGCUGAUAGAUAGGCAUGCGUUCCAUUAGGCAGUUGGCGGGGUAACGGCCCACCAAACCGACGAUGGAUAGGGGUUCUGAGAGGAAGGUCCCCCACAUUGGUACUGAGACACGGACCAAACUCCUACGGGAGGCAGCAGUGAGGAAUAUUGGUCAAUGGGCGUAAGCCUGAACCAGCCAAGUCGCGUGAGGGAUGAAGGUUCUAUGGAUCGUAAACCUCUUUUAUAAGGGAAUAAAGUGCGGGACGUGUCCCGCUUUGUAUGUACCUUAUGAAUAAGGAUCGGCUAACUCCGUGCCAGCAGCCGCGGUAAUACGGAGGAUCCGAGCGUUAUCCGGAUUUAUUGGGUUUAAAGGGUGCGUAGGCGGCCUUUUAAGUCAGCGGUGAAAGUCUGUGGCUCAACCAUAGAAUUGCCGUUGAAACUGGGGGGCUUGAGUAUGUUUGAGGCAGGCGGAAUGCGUGGUGUAGCGGUGAAAUGCUUAGAUAUCACGCAGAACCCCGAUUGCGAAGGCAGCCUGCCAAGCCAUGACUGACGCUGAUGCACGAAAGCGUGGGGAUCAAACAGGAUUAGAUACCCUGGUAGUCCACACGGUAAACGAUGAAUACUCGCUGUAGGCGAUAUACAGUCUGCGGCCAAGCGAAAGCAUUAAGUAUUCCACCUGGGGAGUACGCCGGCAACGGUGAAACUCAAAGGAAUUGACGGGGGCCCGCACAAGCGGAGGAACAUGUGGUUUAAUUCGAUGAUACGCGAGGAACCUUACCCGGGUUUGAACGCAUUCGGACCGAGGUGGAAACACCUUUUCUAGCAAUAGCCGUUUGCGAGGUGCUGCAUGGUUGUCGUCAGCUCGUGCCGUGAGGUGUCGGCUUAAGUGCCAUAACGAGCGCAACCCUUGCCACUAGUUACUAACAGGUAAAGCUGAGGACUCUGGUGGGACUGCCAGCGUAAGCUGCGAGGAAGGCGGGGAUGACGUCAAAUCAGCACGGCCCUUACAUCCGGGGCGACACACGUGUUACAAUGGCGUGGACAAAGGGAAGCCACCUGGCGACAGGGAGCGAAUCCCCAAACCACGUCUCAGUUCGGAUCGGAGUCUGCAACCCGACUCCGUGAAGCUGGAUUCGCUAGUAAUCGCGCAUCAGCCAUGGCGCGGUGAAUACGUUCCCGGGCCUUGUACACACCGCCCGUCAAGCCAUGGGAGCCGGGGGUACCUGAAGUCCGUAACCGCGAGGAUCGGCCUAGGGUAAAACUGGUGACUGGGGCU
rnacentral:rRNA from 1 species